rnacentral:rRNA from 1 species
UACGUAGGGGGCUAGCGUUGUCCGGAUUUAUUGGGCGUAAAGAGCGUGUAGGCGGCCAGAUAGGUCUGCUGUGAAAACUCGAGGCUCAACCUCGAGAUGUCGGCGGAAACCAUUUGGCUAGAGUCCGGAAGAGGAAAGUGGAAUUCCCGGUGUAGCGGUGAAAUGCGUAGAGAUCGGGAAGAACAUCGGUGGCGAAAGCGCUCUACUGGACCGCAACUGACACUGAGGGACGAAAGCUAGGGGAGCGAAUGGG